GCAUGACGUCAUGCAUUUCAUUAUCACGUACACUAAUGAUCGAUGAUGCUCCACCACCACAUGAGAUCCACAACCUCACUCUAUGCUAAUGAUGCGCAGCCCUGCACAACCCUUAAUUUUUAAUGAUGCCUCGCCCUUCCCCCGGCCUUCCUCAAUCCUCCUCACUUCUCCUCAAAAAUUAGGCCUAAACGGCCCCCAUAUUACUGCUCACAAAUAUAUAGGCAUGGAGCUUGGUGCAGCAAAUCAAAGACCGCCACGGUUUACCACUCAUUUGACGUAUCAGAAGUACAAAUAGUUAAAAAACGGACGUACACAACAUCGUAAGUCCCAAGCAGGAGCACUUGCAGCAACUGCAACAAUAAAUCUCUACAGUGGUGGUGGAACAGUUUUUAUUUUGGGGGCAAGGGGCUUACUUCAUUAAAUUUUCCAACAUCUAUCCAACCCGGAAUAUAUGUUGGCGACUGGUGGUGGAGGAUCUGGAUUCCAACUUGUAUCUUUA